AAUAAAUUAUAUUACAGAAGAAGAUCUAAAUAAUUCAAAUAAAAUAGCAUCACUCGUAGAAAGUACAGAUUUUUCUAAUAUGUCAUUUAAUAGAUUACUUGAUAAUAUUGUACAACAAAUUUCAAGCCUAAUAGGACCGAAUUUAUACUAAAAAAACCUUUAUAUAAAAAAUCGAAUCAUGAAUAGAUAGCAAGUUAAUUUUACAUUCAUUAAAUAUGCAAGUUAAA
rnacentral:sRNA from 1 species